rnacentral:rRNA from 1 species
GACGAACGCUGGCGGCGUGCUUAACACAUGCAAGUCGAACGGAAAGGCCCUUCGGGGUACUCGAGUGGCGAACGGGUGAGUAACACGUGGGUGAUCUGCCCUGCACUUUGGGAUAAGCCUGGGAAACUGGGUCUAAUACCGAAUAGGACCACGCGCUUCAUGGUGUGUGGUGGAAAGCUUUUGCGGUGUGGGAUGGGCCCGCGGCCUAUCAGCUUGUUGGUGGGGUAAUGGCCUACCAAGGCGACGACGGGUAGCCGGCCUGAGAGGGUGACCGGCCACACUGGGACUGAGAUACGGCCCAGACUCCUACGGGAGGCAGCAGUGGGGAAUAUUGCACAAUGGGCGCAAGCCUGAUGCAGCGACGCCGCGUGAGGGAUGUCGGCCUUCGGGUUGUAAACCUCUUUCAAUAGGGACGAAGCGCAAGUGACGGUACCUAUAGAAGAAGCACCGGCCAACUACGUG